AACUAUCCAAUGCACGCAAGUGUGAGAUGGGAAUCCCGAGUGCUUAUACUAAGUAUAGGCUUUUGCCAUGGGUAAAUACCAUGGAGAAUAAGUGGGGGGCAAUACCUGUGCCAGCCGCCGCGGUAACCCAGGACCCACAAGUGGCAACCGCUUUUAUUGGGCCUAAAGCGCCCGUAGCCGGUUUUGUAAAUCUUCUGUGAAAUUCUUCGGCUUAACCGAAGAGCGCGCAGGAGACACUGCAUCACUAGGGACCGGGGGGCGUGAGGAGUAUUUCGGGGGGAGCGGUAAAAUGUUAUAAUCCCCGAAGGACUACCUGUGGCGAAGGCGCCUCACGAGAACGGAUCCGACGGUGAGUGACGAAAGCUAGGGGAGCAAAACGGAUUAGAUACCCGAGUAGUCCUAGCCGUAAACGCUGCAAGUUAGGUGUCGCGCAUUCUUCGGGAAUGCGCGGUGUCGUAAUGAAGAUGUUAAACUUGCCGCCUGGGAAGUAUGGUCGCAAGGCUGAAACUUAA
rnacentral:rRNA from 1 species